rnacentral:rRNA from 1 species
GACGAACGCUGGCGGCGUGCUUAACACAUGCAAGUCGAACGAAGUGGCGAACGGGUGAGUAACGCGUAAUCAACCUGCCCUUCAGAGGGGCACAACAGUUGGAAACGACUGCUAAUACCGCAUACUGAAGCAGGUGAUUGCGUCUGAUUAGCUAGUGGGAGGGGGAACGGCCCACCAAGGCGAAGAUCAGUAGCCGGGCUGAGAGGAUGAGCGGCCAAAUUUGGAAUGGGACACAGGCCAGACUCCUACGGGAGGCAGCAGUGGGGAAUCUUCCGCAAAGGACGAAAGUCUGACUGAGCAACGCCGCGUGAGUGAUGACGGCCUUCGGGGUGUAAAGCUCUGUUGAUCGGGACGCGGUACCGGAAUAGAAAGCCACGGCUAACUACGUGCCAGCAGCCGCGGUAAUUC